rnacentral:lncRNA from 1 species
UCAUCGUCAUUGCGACGACCAUAGCUAGGCUUCCUGUAACUCCCCUCUUCCUGUUCCUCAGACCUUCCAUAGCUAGGCUUCCUGUAACUCCCUUCCUCCUGAUCCUCAGAUCUUCCAUAGCUAGGCUUAAUGUAACUCUCCACCUGUUCCUCAGACCCUCCAUAACUUGGUUUCCUGUAACUACCUUCCUCCUGAUCCUCAGAUCUCCCAUAGCUAGGCUUCCUGUAACCUUCCUCUUGAUCCUCAGAUCUCCCAUAGCUAGGCUUCCUGUAACCUUCCUCUUGUUCCUCAGAUCUUCCAUAGCUAGGCUUCCUGUAGCCUUCCUCUUGAUCCUCAGAUCUUCCAUAGCUAGGCUUCCUGUAACUUCCUUCUUCCUGAUCCUCAGAUCUUCCAUAGCUAGGUUUCUUGUAACCUUCCUCUUGUUCCUCAGACCUUCCAUAGCUAGGCUUCCUGUAACCUUCUUCUUGUUCCUCAGACCUACCAUAGCUAGGCUUACGCUCAUACUCAGACUCUGAUCUGCCACCAUAUCCAGAUCCAAGACCCGAUUCAGGUCUCCUCCCAUACUCAACCUCAGUUCUUCCACCACCAGAUCCAUACUCCGAUUGAUUCUCCGUUCUACCACCAUAACUCUGCUCAGGUCUCCGACCAUACUCCGUCUCAGUUUCACCACCAUAUCCAGAUUCAGGCCUCCUACCAUACUCACUCUCCGUCUGACCACCAUAACCAGAUCCAGAUCCAUAACCAGGAUUCGGCCUCUCACCUUGAACAUGACCGCCACCACCUGAAUCGGGUCGAAAUGCGGGUCGUGGCUUGGGUCGAGAAUAGCUACUGUACUCUGUGUUGAG